AAGUCGUAACAAGGUUUCCGUAGGUGAACCUGCGGAAGGAUCAUUAUUGAAUGAACUUGGCUUGGUUGCUGCUGGUCUUUUCGAAGACAUGUGCACGCCAUGUCAUCUUUAUAUCUCCACCUGUGCACCUUUUGUAGACCUGGAUUCAAUUUUCCGAGGUAACUCGGUCGUGAGGAACUGCUUAACGGCUUUCCUUGUUAGUUUCCAGGCCUAUGUUUUCAUAUACACCAUACGAAUGUAACAGAAUGUCAUUAUUAGGCUUAAUUGUCUUAUAAACUAUAUACAACUUUCAGCAACGGAUCUCUUGGCUCUC
rnacentral:misc_RNA from 1 species